CCCGGUCCUCCUCCUUAGCCCCUCCCUGCCGCAGGAGGUGAAGGGGGGUGCAGACGGGCCUCCACGCUCCGUGAGUGCCAGAGAUUCUAGACAAUGUCCAACUACAUUGAUUCCACACAAUUCCUAAGGCUUAGAGGAUGCACGUUGAGCUGCCCCCUUGGCCUUGUCACUCUCCUGGUGGAGGCCAGCCUCUUCCGGGGUAACUGGGUCUCCCGUGUUUCCUGGGACAGCAGCCUGAACGUCCCUUGCAAACCCCUUAGAAACGCGCUCUGUGGUGCCCACCCUGGACCUGCUGAGUCAAGGCCUCUGGGCGGCCUGCAUCUGCACUUUGACAAGACCUGCAGAGGGUUCAAAGGUUGCUCCGUCUGCAAAGCUCUGCAGGAGGGAUGAGGGGAGGGAUCCCGGCCACCGAGCUUUGGCUCCUGGAAGCACCACUCCCAACAGGCCUCAGUUAGGGCUGCACAUGCCAGCCUGGUUUGCUUUCUGCUUGAGGCCUGGGGCUCCCCCACCCACCAGAGGUCUGCUUGGGCUCAAGGGUCCAGACUACCUCCCUCAUCUCCCCCUCCCUUCCUUCCCUUCUCUGAUUCUCUCUCUCUCUUUUUAAAAAAGAUUUAUUUAUUUAUUUCAGAUAGAGAAUGAGAGAGAGUAUGAGCGGGGGACGGGGGCAGAGGGAAAAGCAGAUUUCCCACUGGGCAGGGAGCCCCAUGCAGGACUCGAUCUCCCGACUUUGGGAUCAUGACUGGAGCCAAAGGCAGAUGCUUCACCUUUGGAGCCACCCAGGUGCCCCAUGUUUCAAAAUUUUCACCAGGUAUUCCACCACAAUAUAAUUAUAGGGAGGAAGGAAAAAAAGAAAAGAAAAGAAAAACUUCCCUUACUCUCACGAACUUAGGCUCUGCCUUAGAAGAAAUCCUGGUUCCAUCAGACAGUGCUUCCACCAAGGAACCAAGGAAGCCUCCUGCUGCACUGGUAGCCACAAAUACCUGGUACAGAUGCAAACACCUGGACACUUUGAGCACUCUGCCUGUGGGCCAGCAGGUGAUAAAAGGAUCUGCUGACCUUGGCUGUCAUGAGAAGAUGGGGUUGCUGUUAUGAAGUGGGUUGGGAGGAGUUCUGGAAUGUAAGGCAUUCAGUGGGCCUCUCUCAGUGCUCUGUGCCCAGCGUUGAUGGCGCACAAUGGACUGCAGCCGGCCUGACCUUCAGAGAAAGUGAGUGGAGGAGGGACACCAUGCUGGAUUGCAAGAGCCUGCAAGUCCACUUGAGGGUCAGUCAAAACGCUUCUUGUCAAGGAGCCUCUGGGUUUCCUGAUGAGAUCAGCUUGAAACACACUUCCUUUUCAGAGGAUGAGUGAUGGAAUAAAGAGCGUAUUGUAGACCUGGACUGAAUGUCUCAUCCACACUCAUCAUGACACCUGCGCACCCUUCCCAUUUCAGGACUGGCAACCUUUCCAGCCUGAUGCACGCUAAUUAUUAUCUGUUUUACUUACACAGAACAGGUUAUCUGUAACAAGUAGAGACUGCUAUAGAGAUUUUCAUUAAGUUUGACUCAUUCGUUUACCUGGCUGGAAGGAUUAGACCAUAUCACAGAGUACUCAUGCGUUCUCAAGUAC
rnacentral:lncRNA from 1 species